AGUGAACGCUGGCGGUAGGCCUAACACAUGCAAGUCGAACGGCAGCACAGUAAGAGCUUGCUCUUACGGGUGGCGAGUGGCGGACGGGUGAGGAAUACAUCGGAAUCUACUUUUUCGUGGGGGAUAACGUAGGGAAACUUACGCUAAUACCGCAUACGCCCUACGGGUGAAAGCAGGGGAUCUUCGCACCUUGCGCGAUUGAAUGAGCCGAUGUCGGAUUAGCUAGUUGGCGGGGUAAAGGCCCACCAAGGCGACGAUCCGUAGCUGGUCUGAGAGGAUGAUCAGCCACACUGGAACUGAGACACGGUCCAGACUCCUACGGGAGGCAGCAGUGGGGAAUAUUGGACAAUGGGCGCAAGCCUGAUCCAGCCAUACCGCGUGGGUGAAGAAGGCCUUCGGGUUGUAAAGCCCUUUUGUUGGGAAAGAAAAGCAGCAGGUUAAUACCCCGCUGUUCUGACGGUACCCAAAGAAUAAGCACCGGCUAACUUCGUG
rnacentral:rRNA from 1 species